GACGAACGCUGGCGGCGUGCUUAACACAUGCAAGUCGAACGGUGAAGGGAAGCUUGCUUUUUGGAUCAGUGGCGAACAGGUGAGUAACACGUGGGCAACCUGCCCCUGACUUUGGGAUAACUCCUCGAAAGAGGGGCUAAUACCGGAUACGACCACUGGCGGCAUCGCCUGGUGGUGGAAAGCUCCGGCGGUCAGGGAUGGGCCCGCGGCCUAUCAGCUUGUUGGAGGGGUAACGGCCCCCCAAGGCGACGACGGGUAGCCGGCCUGAGAGGGCGACCGGCCCCACUGGGACUGAGACCCGGCCCCGACUCCUACGGGAGGCAGCAGUGGGGAAUAUUGGUCAAUGGGCGAAAGCCUGAACCAGCAACGCCGCGUGAGGGAUGAAGGCCUUCGGGUUGUAAACCUCUUUCAGCAGGGACGAAGCGAAAGUGACGGUAAAGGCAGAAGAAGCACCGGCUAACUACGUGCCAGCAGCCC
rnacentral:rRNA from 1 species